GGAGUUAGCCGGUGCUUCUUCUGUGAGUGAUGUCCUUCCUGCCGGCUAUUAACCCGCAGGCCUUCUUCCUCACUGAAAGUGCUUUACAACCCGAAGGCCUUCUUCACACACGCGGCAUGGCUGGAUCAGGGUUGCCCCCAUUGUCCAAUAUUCCCCACUGCUGCCUCCCGUAGGAGUCUGGGCCGUGUCUCAGUCCCAGUGUGGCUGAUCAUCCUCUCAGACCAGCUACGGAUCGUCGCCUUGGUGAGCCGUUACCUCACCAACCAGCUAAUCCGACAUAGGCUCAUCCGAUAGCGCGAGGCCCGAAGGUCCCCCGCUUUCCCCCGUAGGGCGUAUGCGGUAUUAGCCUGGGUUUCCCCAGGUUAUCCCCCACUACCGGGCAGAUUCCUAUGCAUUACUCACCCGUCCGCCGCUCGCCACCAGGGAGCAAGCUCCCCGUGCUGCCGCUCGACUUGCAUGUGUUAGGCCUGCCGCCAGCGUUCAAUCUGAGCCAGUGACUACAAACCUCGUACGUA
rnacentral:rRNA from 1 species